rnacentral:rRNA from 1 species
UACGUAGGGGGCGAGCGUUGUCCGGAAUCAUUGGGCGUAAAGCGCAUGUAGGCGGGAUGUUAAGUCGCGUGUGAAAGCCCCAGGCUCAACCUGGGAAGUGCGCGCGAAACUGGCAACCUUGAGUGCUGGAGAGGGUGGCGGAAUUCCCGGUGUAGAGGUGAAAUUCGUAGAUAUCGGGAGGAACACCAGAGGCGAAGGCGGCCACCUGGACAGACACUGACGCUGAGACGCGAAAGCGUGGGGAGCAAACAGG